rnacentral:rRNA from 1 species
GAUAAGGAGCUUGCUCCUUUGACGUUAGCGGCGGACGGGUGAGUAACACGUGGGUAACCUACCUAUAAGACUGGGAUAACUUCGGGAAACCGGAGCUAAUACCGGAUAAUAUUUCGAACCGCAUGGUUCGAUAGUGUAAGAUGGUUUUGCUAUCACUUAUAGAUGGACCCGCGCCGUAUUAGCUAGUUGGUAAGGUAACGGCUUACCAAGGCGACGAUACGUAGCCGACCUGAGAGGGUGAUCGGCCACACUGGAACUGAGACACGGUCCAGACUCCUACGGGAGGCAGCAGUAGGGAAUCUUCCGCAAUGGGCGAAAGCCUGACGGAGCAACGCCGCGUGAGUGAUGAAGGUCUUCGGAUCGUAAAACUCUGUUAUUAGGGAAGAACAUACGUGUAAGUAACUGUGCACGUCUUGACGGUACCUAAUCAGAAAGCCACGGCUAACUACGUGCCAGCAGCCGCGGUAAUACGUAGGUGGCAAGCGUUAUCCGGAAUUAUUGGGCGUAAAGCGCGCGUAGGCGGUUUUUUAAGUCUGAUGUGAAAGCCCACGGCUCAACCGUGGAGGGUCAUUGGAAACUGGAAAACUUGAGUGCAGAAGAGGAAAGUGGAAUUCCAUGUGUAGCGGUGAAAUGCGCAGAGAUAUGGAGGAACACCAGUGGCGAAGGCGACUUUCUGGUCUGUAACUGACGCUGAUGUGCGAAAGCGUGGGGAUCAAACAUGAUUAGAUACCCUGGUAGUCCACGCCGUAAACUAUGAGUGCUAAUUGUUAUGGGG